rnacentral:tRNA from 1 species
GUCCCCGUAGUUCAACGGACAGAACGGAGGUUUCCUAAACCUUAAAUGUGGGUUCGAUUCCCGCCGGGGAUA